rnacentral:misc_RNA from 1 species
AACUUUUGGCAAUGGAUCACUUGGCUCUCGCAUCGAUGAAGAACGCAGCGAAAUGCGAUAAGUAAUGUGAAUUGCAGAAUUCAGUGACUCAUCGAAUCUUUGAACGCACCUUGCACCCUUUGGUAUUCCGAAGGGUAUGCUCGUUUGAGUGUCAUUGUACUCUCACACUCUCUGAUCCUUUGGAUUCAGGGAGCGGUGGACUUGGGUGUUUGCUGCUUUCCUAGUGGCUCACCUCAAAUGCGUCAGUGCACCUCUUGGUUGGACAUAGUACGGCGUGAUAAGUAUCUUCGCCGGCACCUCGCGAGAGGGUGGCUGAUCGGGAGCUCUGUGCUUUCAAACCGUCUUCGGACAAUCUCUGACAACUUGACCUCAAAUCGAGUAGGACUACCCGCUGAACUUAAGCAUAUCAAUAAGCGGAGGCU